UUUUUAUUGUUGUUUGCGUACUUUCCACCGCAGUGUCAAGGAUAACUAAGGACGGAUUGAACGGUUGAUAUUUGGAGGUAAGCGAUAAAAACAGUUUUAUAAAUAAUUCCUUUUUAAAAUGAAGUU